UAUAACAUUUUAAAUGUUUUGUCUACUAUAGCAAUCACCCAAGUGCAUAUGUAAAAAACAUUUAAUUUUCUUUUUCUCUCAAGUUCUUUUUUUUUUUUUUUGGCUCCAAGUCUCUAGGAAGCUGAUUUAAGUGGGGCUUAGAGGGAAAAAAUGACACAAACUCACUUCAAAGCUAUCAACAGACACCAGAGAAAAAAGUUUCAUAAGCAUUUGGACUUUUCAUGAAAGUGGAAAAGUGAAGAAAGCCACAUUUACAUAUUCAUGUUGUACUAGACUGACCACAUGUCAACUCAUGGCAUUAUGAGACCAAAUUAG
rnacentral:lncRNA from 1 species